AUGAACCAAAAGCUUCCUAAUGAUUGAACUAAAGGCUUUGCUAAGGUUAUCAGUGAGUAAGGAAUACAAUUCUGGUCUUCUGAAUGUGCAUCCAGGAUCUUUCCAAGCACCUCACAGAGUUUUACAUGUGUUCCCUGGAAGAGGCUGUUGAUGAGAUGCCUCGGAAGCUACCAGAUGAGAAAAUGGUGACUGGGCCCAUGGGGUUCCAGGCAUAUCCCACUAUUGCAAUCAAAACAGUUUUGCUUUUAUGUUUUAUAUACUGGUGUUCCAUUUAGGAACUGAAUUUUUUAAUAUUUUAAAAUAGUCUACCAGGCAUAUGUGAGAAGUUUAAAGAUAGACAAUGGUAUUCUGAUAUAACUAGUACUGGGUGGGGGGAUUUUGUUUGGAUCAAAAGCUCUAAUUAUCUAAAUAAAUUAUAGGUUCCUUGAAAGUCAGAACUGUAUCUCAAACCUCUUUCAAUAUCUUGCCUCCUACCAGGUGCCCUNNNNNNNNNNNNNNNNNNNNNNNNNNNNNNNNNNNNNNNNNNNNNNNNNNNNNNNNNNNNNNNNNNNNNNNNNNNNNNNNNNNNNNNNNNNNNNNNNNNGAACUUUAUCUCAAACCUCUUUCAAUAUCUUGCCUCCUACCAGGUGCCCUACACAAAAUAGACUACCAAAAAAUUUGCAGAUGACUGCUAUGACCCCUGGCCACUUUACUAAUCAGUGUCUUUUCCCCAAAUGUCUCUAAGAACAAAGGAAAAAGUAGGGUAAAAUCUGUACUAACCAAGUAGCAGCCCUUCCUCCAAAGUGUCAGCACAGGCUGGGGCCCUUGAGAACAGAACAAGUCUUAUUUAUCAGCCAGCAUGUCUGACACUUGAGCAAAAGAGGAAGCAUGAGAUGGGAACUGUGGUUGAAAGUCAGAGCUCAAUCCCUUCUAUGACCUAGAAACCAGACCUAGUGAAUGAAACAGAGACAGAGUAGGUCAAAGUGGCUAAGGAAUUUCCAUUAUUUUUUACAAAAAAUCAGUAUCAUAUGAUGGAAGGAGUACUUUUAGGGAAUUAGACAGACAUCGAUAUAAACCCUGGUCCAUGUUGUAAUAGCUAGAUGACUUUAGUUAAGUUGCUUAAAAUCUCUAAUUCUCAGUUUUCUCAUCUGCAAAAUGGGGAGAACACUUCAUGCCUCUCAGAAAUGUUGAAGAUUAAAUGAAGUAAUGUGUUCAAUACUCACUGCCUUGUGUCUUGCAUGUAGCAAUCUCUCAAUAAGUAGUAACAAUCAUCAUGAAGUCUACAGCACAGUGUGGAGUAAAAAACGGUGGGCUUUGGAGUCAGAAAGAAAAUACAAAUUUCAUCUCUGUCUUUGACUAACACUGAUGAGUCACUUACCAUUUCUGGGUCCAGUUUUCUUUAUAUCUAUAAGUCAGUGAUACUCAAUGGCUGCAUCAGGUAGAAGCUCCUUGAGAAGGACUAGAGCUUCAGGAUCUUUUCUUCCAUUUUGUGUCAUCUUCUCAUAACAAUGUGAUGCUCAUAAAUCCACAACGUAUGUGGUCUAGGUCGUAAAUGAUGUAGCAAUUAACAAAGCAAUUCCCCCAAACUAAUUUAAACCUUCUUUUUCAUCUUUCAAAAGCAUUUGCCAAAAUUAUCCAUCAUCUCAUAUUUUCUGGCACUGUGCCACCCCUGGGAGUCUCAUCUUCUCUUCCCUGUGAACAUUUGCUGCCUCUGGUUCUCCCCCUGUGCUCUCAACCCAGCCCAUAUUCUAUUGCCCACAGUCCUCCAUAUAGAUGGUUAUGUCCUUUGGGUCUCCUUAAAGCUGGAAAGGAAGAAACCAAGUAGUAACGUCUAAGUGUUCUCUUUUCUUGUCAGUGAAGUACAGAAAAGACAAUUUACCUCCACAUGGUAAUCAUUUUUGUACAUCAUCAAGAGGUUGAUACUAACUUGUAUUCCCUGUCCUAGUGACAAGGAAUUUGGUAUCUGUGUGACUGUGUGAAUGCAAAGCUCAACAACACUUGGUGAAAGAGCCCAUAUUCUGUCCCCCAACUGUAUGCCAGGGGACAAACUGAGGAAUAGACACCAUAUGACUAAUUCCUCCACAUAAUGGGGGAUGUUUCAUAAUUCUCCCAGGCAUUGCUUCUGUUGAUAGCUCUG
rnacentral:lncRNA from 1 species